rnacentral:pre_miRNA from 1 species
AAGAGAGCCAUCUGUUGACAGUCGUCAAUUGCCCACUGUCAUGGAGUUGCUCUCUUCA